AUGACAUUCUGACUGCUCUGCUUUGAAUCUGUCUGGAUGAGCAUAAUGAGAGCUUACCAAAUUAUUUUAUUUUACAGGGGGUCACUGGAGAGAUCCCUGAAAUACAGCCCCAUAGGGAUGGCAAAGCUUCAUAGGAGUUGUAAUUGUACAGCAGAUGGGGAUCUACUUUGUGUCCAUUGGGAUAUGUGCAAAACUAUAAUAUUUCCUGACAUGCAGCUUCUAAACCAG